rnacentral:rRNA from 1 species
AUUGAACGCUGGCGGCAUGCUUUACACAUGCAAGUCGAACGGUAACAGGCCUUCGGGUGCUGACGAGUGGCGAACGGGUGAGUAAUGCAUCGGAACGUGCCCAGAGGUGGGGGAUACGGAAGCAAAGCUGUUGUUAUUACCCAAGUUGUUCUGAGGAGGAAGGCGGGGGACAGGGCAGCAUUGUUUGGCCUCGCGCUUUUGAAGCGGCGAUGUCAGAUUAGGUAGUUGGUGGGGUUAAGGGCUACCAAGACGACGAUCUGUAGCUGGUCUGAGAGGACGACCAGCCACACUGGGACUGAGACACGGCCCAGACUCCUACGGGAGGCAGCAGUGGGGAAUUUUGGACAAUGGGCGCAAGCCUGAUCCAGCAAUGCCGCGUGCGGGAAGAAGGCCUUCGGGUUGUAAACCGCUUUUGUACGGAACGAAAAGGCUCUGGCUAAUACCUGGGGCUGAUGACGGUACCGUAAGAAUAAGCACCGGCUAACUACGUG